GGGAGCAGAGCGAGGUGUGCAACCCCCACCUCCAGCCUGACCCCCUCCUCAUGGCAUCUCUACUGGGGAGCAGAGCGAGGUGUGCAACCCUCACCUCCAGCCUGACCCCCUCCCCAUGGCAUCCCUACUGGGGAGCAGAGCGAGGUGUGCAACCCUCACCUCCAGCCUGACCCCCUCCCCAUGGCAUCCCUACUGGGGAGCAGAGCGAGGUGUGGUACCCACCCCCAGCCCGAACCCCUGUGUGGCAUCCUUACUGGGGAGCAGAGCAAGGUAUGCAACCCACUACCCCCAAUUCCACCUCUGGUAUCCCCCAGCCCCAUUCCCCCAGCCUGAACCCCCAUUGUAUCUUACCCGGAGACCAGUGCAAGAUGUGCAACCCCUGACCUCCCCCAGUCCUGCCCACCAGUCUGACCCCACCGGAAACACACACAGUGCCCGAUACCUUUCUCUUCCCAGCCCAGCUCUCCCCCACUGCGCUCUCUGUUGGAGACCCUUGCAGACCCCCAAUACCUUCAGACCCCCACGCUGGUAGCCACCUGCCACGGAUCCACAGCUCCAGCGCUCUGGAGCAGUCUCUCUGGGAGGACUUCUUCAGUUUCAGCCCCUGAGGGUCACACUCUCCCUAGGGCAGGCCUCUUGGCUUCACCACCUCCUGGGGCCAAACCUCGGAGCCUUCAGCACCCUUGGGUCAUGUCGCGAGCUCCCCUCAGUGAGUCCACCUGAACUGGAUACCUGAGGGAGACUGACACACCCAAAGGGAGCAGCACUCCCCCGAUUUCCUUAAACUGGAGUGACUCAGCCAGCGCUGUCACAGCGGGAGGGUUUCUUAGAUGUCUGGAACACAGCCUAGAAAGUCCUUCGUUAACACAGAGAAGGGAAAGUUACAGCAAAGUCCUUCUGGGUCUGUGCAGAGCCCCCAGCCCUCCUCUUAGUCCCAGUCACCCACACUUAACAACCCCACCUGGCCCCUCCUGUCCUUUGUCCUUGGUCCUGGCAACCACUGUCACCUGGCCCUCCUCCUCAGUCCUUUGUCCUCCAGCUGGUCACACCUGGCUGGCUCCCUAAGGAGGCGGGGCCAUCCGUGGUCAUUAGUUGCCAGGUGUCAAAUGUCCGGGCAAUUGGACUGGCCUUUGUCUUCUUAGACUCUCCAUGGGCAUUGGGCCCAGACCCCAGGCAUCAGAGACACCUGUAUGUCUGGGUCUCUGCAAGGGGUAAACCAUCUUUUCCUUCCACCUAGUUAACCAGGCACCACAUAGGGGAAACUGUGGCAUGCCCACUAUUCAUCCAAUUCGCACUCCAUCACACCACCCACAGCCCAGGUCUCCCUGUCCCAAGCAAACAAUGGGAGCUGGUUCUCCCCUCUGAACCCCCUGAUCAGAGAGUGCUCUCCCCAUUCUGCACCUCCAGCCCCCCUUCCUCUGUGAGGGGGAGCCCAGAGGGGCAUGGCCUGUCCUAUCAAUAGCUCUGCUGCC